CGAGUAACCACAGGGUACACGUGUCCGUUUACUGUGCUAGCGAUAGAAAAAAAAACCCAAGACGGGCAAGACCUAGCCAGGUCCCCUCCGCACGCCCCCCUUCUCGCUUGACGCCGUCGCCUUCUCUCCUCUCCCUCGAUUAUUCUCCUCGCGCCGCCACCUCCCCACGCGGCGCCCCUCCACCUCGAGCAGGCCGGAGGCGGCACCGAUGGGUCGAGCCCCGCCAUGGUGGUGGACCCCCGGAAGGGCAAGGAGCUCGCCGCGAUUCCUUCUCCUCCGAGCUCCACGGGCAGCAGCAGUUCCUCCACCCCCUCCCACGACUACGCCGGAGGAGGCGCCGAUGGGUCGAGCUUCGCUGUGGCGUGGGUCGACGGGAAGGGCAGGCUGUCCGCCGUUCCCUUUCUGGCACCUUUUUCCCCCAACCUCCGCGGGCAGCAUCCUCGACUUCGCCUUCCCCUUCGCCUUGGGUCAAGCUCCACGGCAGGGAGGAGGAUGAUGGUGCCGAGGGACGUGAUGGGGUUGUUCAACUAGGAACUGGAGUUCCACCAUAUCCUGCGACAGCAGCGGGCGGUUAUCAUGGAGGACGGUGAGGAGGAGCAGGUGGAACCGUCGUACGCCAAGGACGUGCUCCCGAGAAAGGAAAAGGAGAAGAUGUGUUGAUUGCUGUAACUGGAUACAAAGGGUGCUUCCCUUCCAGGAUAUCGACCAAGCCUGGCAGCUAUGGAUCCGUUCGAGGACCAACUUUGGUUCAAAGCCAGGUUUUGGGCAUAUCGCAGCGCAAGCGGAGGCAGAUCUCAGUCAAUGCUACUCCGGUUGAUAAUGCCCUGAAGCUUCCUUCAGUAACUGGAGGAGCAGUACACAUAGUGAGAGUUCAAGAGAAUCUGCUGAAAUUGAGGUCACAACAGAUGAGUCUCAUGUUCACAUUAGUUUCUCUGCAUGGAGACUCAGCUUUGUCGGUGUCACUUUCAGAUCAACGGUCAUGAAUCAAAGUUAACUUCCUCUCUACCUAUCAUUUAACUGCAACAAAGAAUUCGAGCCGGCACUAAUACAACUGUCUGAUGCUUUGCAAAGUAAGGAUUGAGAAUAUGAAAGAGAACUUGCAAUUCCAUUCGUCAAUGUGCAGUGCCAGGGAACCCAUUUACAUUUUGCAGAUGUCUGACAUAGGCAGGUAACAAGCUAACAACGACAUCAAGUUGUCGGUAGCAGCAACAUCAAUGGCUGCAGUGGACUUCGUCAUCUCAUCGGCAUGCUCGCCCGCCACAGUACACCACUGCAGCUCCAGCGAGACGCUGGAGCUCAUGGCGGCAUUCACGGCGAUGUGCCUCGUUCCGUACCUCAACUAUCUGUAUGCGCGAUGGAGCGGGAGGGACGGUGUGCUCCGGAUGGGAUCCGGCACGGUCGGUGGGCUGACGAGGAAGAGGACCGGUGGAGGGGGGAUUGACAAGGUGGCGCUGGCAGUCAUGCUGGUGUUCAUAUUCAAGGCGGGGGCGGGUGAUGGCUCAAAGGUUGGUAGCUUCUGUAUACGUAUUGCAUCAUUGUCUUGCCUUCUUGGAAGCGUGGGUGUUGCUUCAAUUGGAACCGUUAUUUUUUCCCAUGACUUCCAGAUGUAAUCCUACUUGACUUUUGCAUCAGUGAUAUUUGAAGUUCAUCAAAUGACUUUGUAAUUAAGUUCAUAUAGUUGAUAUCUCGCAUUUGUAUAUGCUACCUCUAACAGUAUGUGCCAACA